rnacentral:lncRNA from 1 species
UUCAUCUGAGUGGCCAUCUAACCCACCUGGUUAGUGAGACUUUGUAUAUAAGCUCUCGUCUCUUGCUGAAAUUGCAGGUUUUGCAUAGUCAUCUGUCUCACUAACUCUUCCAAUGAAGGUGCAGAUGAAGUGGACGGUUGGGCAGCUGGUUGGGCAGGUGCCUCUUGCUGCUGCUGUUGUUGCCUCUGGUGUUGUUGCAUAGGUGGAGGCACAUAUCUGUUAGGUGCUCCAACAUUCUGGAAAGGUGUCGCCUGCUGCUGAUGUUGUGGCGCAUUGUUCCAUCUAAGAUUAGGGUGAUUCCUCCACCCUGAGUUGUACCUAUUGCUGGAC